CAGGCCUAACACAUGCAAGUCGAGCGGUAACAGAGAGUAGCUUGCUACUUUGCUGACGAGCGGCGGACGGGUGAGUAAUGCUUGGGAAUAUGCCUUAUGGUGGGGGACAACAGUUGGAAACGACUGCUAAUACCGCAUGAUGUCUACGGACCAAAGUGGGGGACCUUCGGGCCUCACGCCAUAAGAUUAGCCCAAGUGGGAUUAGCUAGUUGGUGAGGUAAUGGCUCACCAAGGCGACGAUCCCUAGCUGGUUUGAGAGGAUGAUCAGCCACACUGGGACUGAGACACGGCCCAGACUCCUACGGGAGGCAGCAGUGGGGAAUAUUGCACAAUGGGCGCAAGCCUGAUGCAGCCAUGCCGCGUGUGUGAAGAAGGCCUUCGGGUUGUAAAGCACUUUCAGUAAGGAGGAAAGGUUAAGUGUUAAUAGCACUUAGCUGUGACGUUACUUACAGAAGAAGCACCGGCUAACUCCGUGCCAGCAGCCGCGGUAAUACGGAGGGUGCGAGCGUUAAUCGGAAUUACUGGGCGUAAAGCGUACGCAGGCGGUUUGUUAAGCGAGAUGUGAAAGCCCCGGGCUCAACCUGGGAACUGCAUUUCGAACUGGCAAACUAGAGUGUGAUAGAGGGUGGUAGAAUUUCAGGUGUAGCGG
rnacentral:rRNA from 1 species